CAAAAGCCUGCCUCGUGAGCGCGGCAAGAGCUCUGCCAGGGCAGUCCCAGCUGGCCCAGGAGCCGCAGCGCUCCCGAGGGCCGUCGAGCAAAGGCGGGAGGCGCAGCCGGGCUGUCGGUGGACCUGCCCACUGCUCAGUGGAGCGUGGAGGACGAGGAGGAGGCUGUCCACGAGCAAUGCCAGCAUGAGAGAGACAGGCAGCUUCAGGCGCAGGACGAGGAGGGAGGCGGCCAUGUCCCCGAGCGGCCGAAGCAGGAGAUGCUG
rnacentral:lncRNA from 1 species